ACUCCUACGGGAGGCAGCAGUGGGGAAUAUUGCACAAUGGGGAAACCCUGAUGCAGCCAUGCCGCGUGUGUGAAGAAGGCCUUCGGUUGUAAAGCACUUCAGUAGGGAGGAAGGUAGUGUAGUUAACACCUGCAUUAUUUGACGUUACCUACAGAAGAAGCACCGGCUAACUCCGUGCCAGCAGCCGCGGUAAUACGGAGGGGUGCGAGCGUUAAUCGGAAUUACUGGGCGUAAAGCGCAUGCAGGCGGCCUGUUAAGUCAGAUGUGAAAGCCCGGGGGCUUAACCUCGGAAUUGCAUUUGAAACUGGCAGGCUAGAGUCUGUAGAGGGGGUAGAAUUUCAGGUGUAGCGGUGAAAUGCGUAGAGAUCUGAAGGAAUACCAGUGGCGAAGGCGGCCCCCUGGACAAAGACUGACGCUCAGAUGCGAAAGCGUGGGGAGCAAACAGGAUUAGAUACCCUGGUAGACUGUCA
rnacentral:rRNA from 1 species